CGGCAGCGCGGGCGGGGGUAACCUCGCCUGGCGGCGAGUGGCGAACGGGUGAGUAAUAUAUCGGAGCGUACCCUGGAGUGGGGGAUAACGUAGCGAAAGUUACGCUAAUACCGCAUACGAUCUAAGGACGAAAGUGGGGGACUCGCAAGAGCCUCAUGCUCGUGGAGCGGCCGAUAUCUGAUUAGCUAGUUGGUAGGGUAAAAGCCUACCAAGGCAUCGAUCAGUAGCUGGUCUGAGAGGACGACCAGCCCACACUGGAACUGAGACACGGUCCAGACUCCUACGGGAGGCAGCAGUGGGGAAUUUUGGACAAUGGGCGCAAGCCUGAUCCAGCAAUGCCGCGUGAGUGAAGAAGGCCUUCGGGUUGUAAAGCUCUUUUGUCAGGGAAGAAACGGUUUGGGCUAAUAUCCUGGGCUAAUGACGGUACCUGAAGAAUAAGCACCGGCUAACUACGUGCCAGCAGCCGCGGUAAUACGUAGGGUGCAAGCGUUAAUCGGAAUUACUGGGCGUAAAGCGUGCGCAGGCGGUUUUGUAAGUCUGACGUGAAAUCCCCGGGCUCAACCUGGGAAUUGCGUUGGAGACUGCAAGGCUAGAAUCUGGCAGAGGGGGGUAGAAUUCCACGUGUAGCAGUGAAAUGCGUAGAUAUGUGGAGGAACACCGAUGGCGAAGGCAGCCCCCUGGGUCAAGAUUGACGCUCAUGCACGAAA
rnacentral:rRNA from 1 species